rnacentral:rRNA from 1 species
GUAGGGAAUAUUGCUCAAUGGGGGAAACCCUGAAGCAGCAACGCCGCGUGGAGGAUGAAGGUUUUAGGAUUGUAAACUCCUUUUGUGAGAGAAGAUUAUGACGGUAUCUCACGAAUAAGCACCGGCUAACUCCGUGCCAGCAGCCGCGGUAAUACGGAGGGUGCAAGCGUUACUCGGAAUCACUGGGCGUAAAGAGUGCGCAGGCGGGGUGGUAAGUCAGAUGUGAAAUCCUGUAGCUUAACUACAGAACUGCAUUUGAAACUAUCACUCUAGAGUAUGGGAGAGGUAGGUGGAAUUCUUGGUGUAGGGGUAAAAUCCGUAGAGAUCAAGAGGAAUACUCAUUGCGAAGGCGACCUACUGGAACAUUACUGACGCUCAUGCACGAAAGCGUGGGGAGCAAACAGGAUUAGAAACCCGAGUAGUCC